rnacentral:rRNA from 1 species
AGACCCGAAACCCGGUGAUCUAGCCAUGGGCAGGUUGAAGGUUGGGUAACACUAACUGGAGGACCGAACCGACUAAUGUUGAAAAAUUAGCGGAUGACCUGUGGCUGGGGGUGAAAGGCCAAUCAAACCGGGAGAUAGCUGGUUCUCCCCGAAAGCUAUUUAGGUAGCGCCUCGUGAAUUCAUCUCCGGGGGUAGAGCACUGUUUCGGCUAGGGGGCCAUCCCGGCUUACCAACCCGAUGCAAACUGCGAAUACCGGAGAAUGUUAUCACGGGAGACACACGGCGGGUGCUAACGUCCGUCGUGAAGAGGGAAACAACCCAGACCGCCAGCUAAGGUCCCAAAGUCAUGGUUAAGUGGGAAACGAUGUGGGAAGGCCCAGACAGCCAGGAUGUUGGCUUAGAAGCAGCCAUCAUUUAAAGAAAGCGUAAUAGCUCACUGGUCGAGUCGGCCUGCGCGGAAGAUGUAACGGGGCUAAACCAUGCACCGAAGCUGCGGCAGCGACACUGUGUGUUGUUGGGUAGGGGAGCGUUCUGUAAGCCUGUGAAGGUGGCCUGUGAGGGUUGCUGGAGGUAUCAGAAGUGCGAAUGCUGACAUAAGUAACGAUAAAGCGGGUGAAAAGCCCGCUCGCCGGAAGACCAAGGGUUCCUGUCCAACGUUAAUCGGGGCAGGGUGAGUCGACCCCUAAGGCGAGGCCGAAAGGCGUAGUCGAUGGGAAACGGGUUAAUAUUCCCGUACUUGGUGUUACUGCGAAGGGGGGACGGAGAAGGCUAUGUUGGCCGGGCGACGGUUGUCCCGGUUUAAGCGUGUAGGUGUGUGUUCCAGGUAAAUCCGGUUCACUUUAACACUGAGGCGUGACGACGAGGCACUACGGUGCUGAAGCAACAAAUGCCCUGCUUCCAGGAAAAGCCUCUAAGCAUCAGGUAACAUCAAAUCGUACCCCAAACCGACACAGGUGGUCAGGUAGAGAAUACCAAGGCGCUUGAGAGAACUCGGGUGAAGGAACUAGGCAAAAUGGUGCCGUAACUUCGGGAGAAGGCACGCUGACACGUAGGUGAAGUGAUUUACUCAUGGAGCUGAAGUCAGUCGAAGAUACCAGCUGGCUGCAACUGUUUAUUAAAAACACAGCACUGUGCAAACACGAAAGUGGACGUAUACGGUGUGACGCCUGCCCGGUGCCGGAAGGUUAAUUGAUGGGGUCAGCGCAAGCGAAGCUCCUGAUCGAAGCCCCGGUAAACGGCGGCCGUAACUAUAACGGUCCUAAGGUAGCGAAAUUCCUUGUCGGGUAAGUUCCGACCUGCACGAAUGGCGUAAUGAUGGCCAGGCUGUCUCCACCCGAGACUCAGUGAAAUUGAACUCGCUGUGAAGAUGCAGUGUACCCGCGGCAAGACGGAAAGACCCCGUGAACCUUUACUAUAGCUUGACACUGAACAUUGAGCCUUGAUGUGUAGGAUAGGUGGGAGGC